AAGGAAAGAAGGAAGGAAGGAAGGAAGGAAGGAAGGAAGGAAGGAAGGAAGGAAGGAAGGAAGGAAGGAAGGAAGGAAGGAAAGAAGGAAGGAAGAAAAGAUGGAAGUAAAGAAAAAAGAAAAAAAGAAAAAGAACCAGGCAUUAAAAUGAUAAAAUGGUGAGCUUGACUUUGAUUCUUGAGAAAACUGUAGAACAAAUUAUUAAAGAAAAAACUGGCAAACAUUUAGAAAGGGAAGUUUUAAUGAUGAGCCAGCAUGGUUUCAUAAAGAACAAAUCAUGUCACAUCAAUAAUCUCAUUUCCUUUUCUCACAGAAUUACUUUACUAGCAGAUGAGAAGAAUGCUGCAAAUCUAUUUAUCCAGAUUUUACUUUUUAUAAAAGAACUCACUCUAUUACUGAUGAGAAGAUGGAAAAUUAAGGAUAAGAUGGCUUCAGUACUCUUUGGAUGAUAGGAUUCCGGUGGUUCAAUGUCACCAUGGCAUGAAGUUUCUAGUGGAAUACAUCAGGCAUUUGUACUUAAUCUUGUGUUGUUUAACAUUUUUAUCCAUGAUUUCAACAAUGACAAGGAUUACAUAUUUACCAAAUUUUAGACGACACAAAGCUGGGAAUGAUAACAAAUAUUGUAGAAGACAGUCAAUGCAAGAAAAGAAUUUUGGCAUGCUAGAGCAUUGAAUAGAAAUGGAUAAAAUGAAAUUCAUUAGGAAUAAAAGUAAAAUAUUCCACUUCAGUUUGAAAAAAAAUCAGUGUCACCUGUUUAAGAUGGGAAAGAUAUGGCUAGAUAGUAAUUGUUCUGAAAAAGAGCUAGAGGUUUUAGUGGGAUCUAAUCUCAAUCAUAAUCGGUGGUUUUACAGGGCAGCAGAGUUUCCAGGAAAGGGGAAGUAAUAGUCCAGUUGUAUUAUGCCCUUGUCAAGAGUAUUGUAUUCUGUCCUGAACAUCAUAGUUAAAGAAGGAUAUUGGUAAGCUAGAGACUCAUACAGGAUAGCAAAAAAUCUUGAAUCCAAGUCAUAGAGGGAUGAGUUGAAGGAAUUGGGCAUGUUUAGCUUGGAGAAAAGAAGACUGAGUGGUUUCAUGUAGAAGAAGAAUUAGACUUCAUUUGACCCUAGAAGGCAGAGCCAGGGAAGAAGUGGCAACAAGUUUCAACUACUGGGAAAUAUCCUAAUUAUUAGAGCUGUUUAACAAUGGUAUAGACUAUCUUCAGAAGUGGCAGAUUAUUUUACUUAGAGGCUAGACAACUACUAGUUGGUUAUGUUAGAGUUGGGGUUCCUUUCUUGCAUAGAUUGUGUUUCAUGGCUACUGAGAUCUUUCCCACUCUCAAAUUCCGUAAUACUGUGACUAGAUAACCACUAAGGUUAGUCCAGUUAUGACUCUUAAUCUUUGCAAUCCUCCUGAGCCCUUGACUGUUGUUGUUAUUGUUCAGUUGUAUCCUCCUCUUUUCCCAUUUCAAUGGAUCAUUUUGUCAAGUAAACAGAGAUUAAAUAAAUUGCCUAGGCUCACACAGGUAUGAAGUAUCUGGGGCUGGAUUUGAACUCAGCUCUUUCUGACUCCAGGUCCAGGACUCUCUCUUAUUUAUCCAUUGAGCCAUCAAUUGUCUCAUCUUGCUCCAAUAGGGUCCAUGAUGGGAGAGGGCUUUCUCCCACCUCUCCGACCAAAUUUGGUUGUGCCACAUUGCCUUAUCAUGGUCAGUUUUCCCCUCUCUGGCCAGUAAUCCUCUAUCAACUUUCCCAAAUUUUCAGCAUUUAGCACAACUCCUGGCAUAGAGUAGCUGCUUAACAAAUGUUUAUUGGCUGACUGAGAAAUUGUCAGGACACAUUCAAUGGAUUGAUCCAGCUGCUGUGGGCCUUAGGGAUGGGAAGAAAGGGAAUGACUACUCUCCCAUAAGUCUCCAGAUGGAACCUCUGAAGUCCAGCUCUUCCCAAGUCCUGAGGGGGAUAUCACAUCAUCUUAGUCAUUACCAUCAGCCCGAGGAAAAAAACAACAAUGUGGUUUAAGAGGGUAACAUGUUCCACAGCGCGGGAAAGGAGAGUGUAGGAAAGUCUGCUCAGCCCACUAGGUCUCCGUCUCUCCAUCUGCCUGUUUCUGUGUGUUUCAGUCUCUCCGUUUCUUUUCCCUCACCCCACCCCCAAGUAUGUGUGUAGCAGAGGGACUCUUCAAUUCUUCGAGGUCAGAAGGUACAGCCUUGUACCCGAGAUCUUCCGGGAGGCACAGAGGCUGCUGAGGAUGAAGCCUCCUCAGGAUGUUGUCCAGAACUCUUCUUUGCCCCUCCUCGGGGAAGAAACAAUACCAUCUGGAGCUUGCAAAAUAAAUUAAUUAAAUACAAGUUUUAGCCGGCAAGCUACUUUCUCUCUCCUCUCUUCUCCCCCCACCCCCUCCCCUGGAAUCUGUCUACAGAAAGCAGUAAACUCUGAGGCUGGCCUGGAAGAUCAGGAGAGUGGGCAGAAAGCAAAUCCCAUCCUCUUCAAAGGAGGUGGAUUGGGAAAGAGGAGGAUCUUCCAGUAAAGAGAGGAUGACUCACGGCUGGGUUAUCUCCCCUCUCACUCUCCGGCCUGGGAAACUGCAAACAAGCCGCUCUCCUUAAAGGCGUACUGCCCUCCCGCCCGCCGGCCGCCCGCCCAGCUGCUCCAGAAGGCACCCGGCUUCUCUCGAAGUCCCCGUCUCCAGCCAGCUUUGGCAAACUAAUUAGCCUCGAAAUGGUCUUAUGAUCAGACUAGAUGAUCAUCCUGCUUAGGAGUGAGGCUUCCAUAAUUAAUUUUUAGGGCAAUAGCUUUAAAGAAAUGCUUUGUGCCCACAGCCAAUUAAUCUUAAUUAUUAACCUCAUAAACAAAGUUAGUACAUUUUGUAAUAAGGCUUGUAGAGACAAAUGUCUUAUCUUAGGCGAUCAAGGCAAAUUACUGGGUAGCCAGACCGAAGCAGUCUGAAGUACAGAAUAUAUACAGAAAUCCUUUAUGUUUUCAGCUCAUUAUUGGGCUCCGUAGUAAGAAUAAUAAUAAUAACGACUGAUAUUUGUUUUAGCACUUUAAAGUUUACAAUAUACUUUUCAGACAUCUUACUUAAUCCUCACAAUCAUCCUGAGGUAAGUAAUGUCAUGUUAUGGUGUUACAGAUAAGUAAACAGAGGCAGAAAUGUUAGUAUCUGAGACAAUAUUCAAAACCAGAUCUUGACAAUCUCAAAGAUAUCUGAAAUACCACUUGUAGUUUACUAAUAUGCUUUUAAAUAGAAAAGUAAUACAAAAUGUAAAAUAAAUCCAGAAAUAUAUUAAUCAAUCAACAAGCAUUAUUAAGUGCCUACUAUAAACUACCCCCCGAGAAUUUAAAAAACAAAAACGAGAGAAAGUCAAUAGAAACUUGUUUCAAAGAGUGCAUUUUUUGCAAGGGAUGUUUAUCCAAAAUAUUCUGAACAGCUAGUUAAGUAAAAAAAGAUUAAUAAGUCAAAACAAAGUGGGAUUUGUAGUUAUCUAGAUAUGUAGACAAAUCAUAAAGACCACCAGAAUGGGAAUCAGGAAAUUCUGGUUCUGCCACUGACUACUGUAUGAUAUUGAGCAAGUUUCUUUGCCUGUGUUUUCUCAUCUGUAAAAUUAAAGGGCUGGACAAGAUACUUUUUAAAGUCUACUGUCUACAUUUUUUAGUCUAAUAAAGGGCUUCUGUGA